GAUGAACGCUGGCGGCGUGCCUAAUACAUGCAAGUCGAGCGAAUGGAUUAAGAGCUUGCUCUUAUGAAGUUAGCGGCGGACGGGUGAGUAACACGUGGGUAACCUGCCCAUAAGACUGGGAUAACUCCGGGAAACCGGGGCUAAUACCGGAUAACAUUUUGAACCGCAUGGUUCGAAAUUGAAAGGCGGCUUCGGCUGCCACUUAUGGAUUGACCCGCGUCGCAUUAGCUAGUUGGUGAGGUAACGGCUCACCAAGGCAACGAUGCGUAGCCGACCUGAGAGGGUGAUCGGCCACACUGGGACUGAGACACGGCCCGGACUCCUACGGGAGGCAGCAGUAGGGAAUCUUCCGCAAUGGACGAAAGUCUGACGGAGCAACGCCGCGUGAGUGAUGAAGGCUUUCGGGUCGUAAAACUCUGUUGUUAGGGAAGAACAAGUGCUAGUUGAAUAAGCUGGCACCUUGACGGUACCUAACCAGAAAGCCACGGCUAACUACGUGCCAGCAGCCGCCGUAA
rnacentral:rRNA from 1 species